UUUAAUCAUGUGAUUAAUUGAUUUGUUGUUUAUUGUGACAGGACCAACUGUAUCCAAUCUUCAAAGUAACAUAAAAAGAAGAUGGAUGGAACCAGAACCAACCGGUCCAGUCCCAGCAGCCGGACCUGCUCAGUAGAUGAAACCAUACAGGAAUAAAGUUUGUGGAGUAUUUCUGAGAGUCUGCUGCCCCCUUGUGGCCAAGCAAAUCCCCGCAGGACCAGAUUUAUUUAAAUUGUUUAUUUAAGGAUGAAAAAUGGAAACAUUUCUUUAAAACCGGUUGGAUGGUGAUGGAGCGCUACGGCCACACAAAUAAAACUAGGAGGACAAAGUCAUAAUAAAGUUAUAUUUCAAUAAUUAUAUUUUCAGAAUAAAGUAUUAUUACAAUACUUUAGUCUCAUUAACUGUUCAUAAUAGUGACUUUAGUUUGAUGUUGAAUUUAUUCGCCUAAUAUGAUUUCAUUCUUGUUUAGUCUCAUAAAUAAAGGAAAUAAUAUGAAU